rnacentral:lncRNA from 1 species
UUUUGGGGUAGAAAAAGGGGUGUUACAGUCACAACCCCUUCAAAUCAAACGAACAGAAGUCACACGAUAUUUUCCAACAAAAGAAAAAGAAACGAGAAAUACAAAAAUAAAAAAUAAAGAAAGCCCGCUAAGUCGAAAACUCAAAAAUGGUUGACUUAGGCAAAAAUUAGGGCAUCCCCGUGGAUUGCAAACUGGAAUCAAUCCAACAAAAUUAGGGAAAUAAAAAAAACUAAAGGAAAAGAGGAAUCAAAAU